rnacentral:lncRNA from 1 species
AGGAAUAGGGUCAUCAACGAAUGAAGGCCCUAAAACAAAUCAAGAAGGGUCCGACUGGACGAAUUGUCGAAGUAAGGUAUAAUCGAGAGAAGAAGAAGACGGAAGAGGCGAAAGCGGUGCCAUCCCAGAAAAAUCAAAGGAAAUGGUGAAAGAAAGACGCUAAAAGAUCAAAGACGAGAAAAGCGAGGAUAAAGAAGACAAAAGCCUCAGGCGAAGAAGGAAAAGAAAAUGUGGAGAGGAAGAAAACAAGAAAGAGAAAAAGGGAAAGAAAAGCUGCUGGAUGGAAUUCCGAAUUUGGCUUUAAUGAUGAAGAGACGGCAGCAAUAAAUGUGACUUAAUUAAUGCCGCAUAUAAGACAAAAUAGAAUGUGGGAGAUCAUGGCCGUCAAAGGUGAAAGGAUGGCUGAGAGAGAAAUCGUACGGGGCAAUUCAAAAUCAUAAUUUCGAAACUUGCACCUUUGGAAAAAAUUAUACCAGCUACUGAAUCGUAUGUUCGGAAGCUGCCGAUGGGGCAAUUGUUAGGGCCAAUAAUAAAAUGCCACGUGAUGGGUUGGUGCACGAUUCAGCCGGGAGCCAGGAUUAAAUAGCAUUUGGUGCACCAUGAGUAGAAAAGAAAAGGAAUCACAGCAUAACCGCAAGGCAUAACCGCAAGCGGUUUUGAGCGGUUAGGAUCGGCUCAUAGUGGCCCACAAAAACAAGAGAGAGGCCGAUCGUGUACAUAACUGCACAAUAAUAAGCGGAAUAUAAAUAGGCAAAACGCCUGAAGGAAGGGUCUUUUUCCUGCGUAAAGAAGAACACCUUUCAAUUUCUCUACAUUUUCUUGCAUUUCUAGUAGUAGUUUUACUUGUAAUCU